rnacentral:rRNA from 1 species
UACGUAGGGUGCGAGCGUUGUCCGGAAUUACUGGGCGUAAAGAGCUCGUAGGUGGUUUGUCGCGUUGUCCGUGAAAACUCACAGCUCAACUGUGGGCGUGCGGGCGAUACGGGCAGACUGGAGUACUGCAGGGGAGACUGGAAUUCCUGGUGUAGCGGUGGAAUGCGCAGAUAUCAGGAGGAACACCUGUGGUGUAGACGAUCAUCUGGGGUUGUUCUGACACUGAGGAGCGAAAGCUAGGGGAGCAAACGGG